CUUCACGGUUUGGGCAUUACAUGAGUUUGUCAUUGAACCAUUUCCAUACCUCAUAUAAGGGCUCACCACUAAGUUGACAAAAAUUUGUAAUUUCAUCUCUUAGUUG
rnacentral:snoRNA from 1 species